AUCUCUUCUCGGCCUUUUGGCUAAGAUCAAGUGUAGUAUCUGUUCUUAUCAGUUUAAUUGUGGUAAAAACACAUAAUGCAGAAUUUACCAUCUUAAUCAUUUUAAGUGUACAGUUU
rnacentral:snRNA from 1 species